rnacentral:tRNA from 1 species
GGGCGGCUAGCUCAGUUGGUUAGAGCGUUGCUUUCACACGGCAGAGGUCACUGGUUCGAAUCCAGUGCCGCCCA